UAGGCAAGCUCCACCAUGCCUGGCCAAUGUCAGUUUCUCAGCGAUGGAUUUCAUACCUUCUUCACCUCUGUGGUCCUACUUUGGUCUACGCGGCCUGUUGCAGUCCAGGUGCUGGGGAUUGAAUCUAGGACCUCAUGCUUGCAUGGACUUGAGCUGUACCCACAUCCCACACACAACUACUUUCUGACUGUUGAAAGCACCCCAAUGAGGAUGUUCUUGAAGAGAAAAAGACUUGGAGGCAUGGCUUUGAGUGCCGACAGUGCUUUUAAAAAAGCGAGUGAACCCAGAAAGCACAAGUGAACAAAUUGAGCCAAACCUGCUCGUUUCAGCCAGGACCCAGACAAAGAAUUCACAUUUGGUGAGCUGAGACACCUCCUCAGUCUUUUCGUCUGCUUCCGUUCGUCACCCCUUUCUUGCAGUUUUCCUGAGGAAACCGGGUCAUUUUCCUUAUCUACCGGGACUCCCCACCGUAUUGUUUCACAUGCUCUUUGUCAAUGCAGCAUGUUGUACAGAAGUCUCUUAUCUGUGGCUUCACUUUCCGUGUUUUGUUACCGAUGGCAACUGUGCUCUGAAGCAUCAAAUGGAAAAUUCAAGAAAUAAACAAUUCGGAAGUUUGAAAUUGGAUGCCGUUCUUAGAAACUUGACGGACUCCCACAGCACCCUAGU